GCCAGAGUGGUGUAGUAGUUUGAGUAUUAGACACUGAUUCUUGAGAUCAGGGUUCAAUUCCCUGCUUGAGCA